UGGGGAAUAUUGCACAAUGGGCGAAAGCCUGAUGCAGCAACGCCGCGUGAGUGAUGAAGGCCUUCGGGUUGUAAAGCUCUGUCUUCUGGGACGAUAAUGACGGUACCAGAGGAGGAAGCCACGGCUAACUACGUGCCAGCAGCCGCGGUAAUACGUAGGUGGCAAGCGUUGUCCGGAUUUACUGGGCGUAAAGGAUGCGUAGGCGGAUACUUGAGUCAGAUGUGAAAAUCCCGGGCUUAACUUGGGAACUGCAUUUGAAACUGGGUAUCUAGAGUGCGGGAGAGGAAAGUGGAAUUCCUAGUGUAGCGGUGAAAUGCGUAGAGAUUAGGAAGAACACCAGUGGCGAAGGCGACUUUCUGGACCGUAACUGACGCUGAGGCAUGAAAGCGUGGGGAGCAAACA
rnacentral:rRNA from 1 species